UAUGUUACCAUUUCAUUGAUAAUACCUUUAGUGUAAGGUAUUUUAAAUCAUCUUAUUAAUCUACAACCAAGUACUUCAGAAGAAAAGAGUAUACUACAAAAGACAGUUGAAAGUGUUAAAACAAGGUUAUUUCAUUAUGAGAAACGUACUUUACCUCGUUUAGCUACAAUAUUAGAUCCGAGACUGAAAAAAGAGGCUUUUAGAUCUUCUGAUAAUGCUAAAUGUGCAGUUUCUUUACUUCAGAGCGAAAUGUCUUUGCAAGAAUCAUUAUUACCACAAAAUCCAGAGGAAAGUCAUGAUACUACAGAAUCAGCAUCUAACUCUAGUAAAUCAUUAUUUGAUUUUCAGGAGAUUAGAAUAGCUGAAAAAAGGAAAAACAGGACGGUGACUGCCAAUUCAAUCAUUUAUUUAAAAGAAUACAUGGAACGUCCUAAUACAAAUAAUGAUAUUGAUUCUUUAAUAUUCUGGAAUGUUAAUAAUGAUAGUCUUGGGACUACUCCCACUUGUGCUAAAAAAAUCUUAUGUGCUCCUGCCACUUCAGUCUCAUCUGAAAGGAUAUUCAGUAAGGCUGGUAUAGUUGUUUCAGAUAGGCGGUCUAGAUUAAAAGCUAAAAAUGUAAACAUUGUAGUGAGCCGGUCCUGGUGAAGAUGGCCAAACACGAUUUAACGACGAAGUCCACUUUGUCGUCUAUCUUCUUCGGAGAGCGUAAUUUUUUUGACAAGAAGUCUAUGAAAUAUUGUGAAAGCAGUUUCUGCGGCGUCGUCGAUUCAAAAUUGAAAAAAAGUUUGUUUUUAACAUCAGCCUUUAGACAAAAAUACUAUCGAAACUAUCGAUAGUUAUCGAUAGUAUAACUACAUACAAUCGGAAGCUAUCGAUGGUUAGGACUAUCGAUUUUUCUCCACCCCAAGUAGUCAUAUCAAUCAUACGUAUGAGAAAUAAAUGAGUACCAUUUUUACAGCAGUUUAGUUACAGAAUUGUCCACCAGGAAGAGCUAAGAAGGCCGAUUUGAAAAUAUUUU